GACGAACGCUGGCGGCGUGCUUAACACAUGCAAGUCGAACGAUGAAGCUGGAGCUUGCUCCAGUGGAUUAGUGGCGAACGGGUGAGUAACACGCGAGCAAUCUGCCCUUGACUCUGGGAUAACUGCGGGAAACUGUAGCUAAUACCGGAUACGACACCUUGGGGCAUCCCAGGGUGUGGAAAGAAUUUCGGUCAAGGAUGAGCUCGCGGCCUAUCAGCUAGUUGGUGAGGUAAUGGCUCACCAAGGCGACGACGGGUAGCCGGCCUGAGAGGGUGACCGGCCACACUGGAACUGAGACACGGUCCAGACUCCUACGGGAGGCAGCAGUGGGGAAUAUUGCACAAUGGGCGAAAGCCUGAUGCAGCAACGCCGCGUGAGGGAUGAAGGCCUUCGGGUUGUAAACCUCUUUUAGCAGGGAAGAAGCGAAAGUGACGGUACCUGCAGAAAAAGCACCGGCUAACUACGUGCCAGCCGCCGCAGUAA
rnacentral:rRNA from 1 species